AUUGAACGCUGGCGGCAGGCCUAACACAUGCAAGUCGAGCGCGAAAAUUCCUUCGGGAAUGAGUAGAGCGGCGGACGGGUGAGUAACGCGUAGGAAUCUGCCCAGUAGUGGGGGACAACCUGGUGAAAACCAGGCUAAUACCGCAUACGCCCUACGGGGGAAAGCAGGGGAUCUUCGGACCUUGCGCUAUUGGAUGAGUCUGCGUCGGAUUAGCUUGUUGGUGAGGUAAUGGCUCACCAAGGCGACGAUCCGUAGCUGGUCUGAGAGGAUGAUCAGCCACACUGGGACUGAGACACGGCCCAGACUCCUACGGAGGCAGCAGUGGGGAAUAUUGGACAAUGGGCGAAAGCCUGAUCCAGCCAUGCCGCGUGUGUGAAGAAGGCUCUAGGGUUGUAAAGCACUUUCAGUGGGGAAGAAAGCUUGUUAGCUAAUAACUGACGAGUGUGGCAUUACCCACAGAAGAAGCACCGGCUAACUCCGUG
rnacentral:rRNA from 1 species